AUUGAACGCUGGCGGCAGGCUUAACACAUGCAAGUCGAGCGGGGGAAGGUAGCUUGCUACCGGACCUAGCGGCGGACGGGUGAGUAAUGCUUAGGAAUCUGCCUAUUAGUGGGGGACAACAUCUCGAAAGGGAUGCUAAUACCGCAUACGUCCUACGGGAGAAAGCAGGGGAUCUUCGGACCUUGCUCUAAUAGAUGAGCAUAAGUCCGAUUAGCUAGUAGGUGGGGUAAAGGCCUACCAAGGCGACGAUCUGUAGCGGGUCUGAGAGGAUGAUCCGCCACACUGGACUGAGACACGGCCCAGACUCCUACGGGAGGCAGCAGUGGGGAAUAUUGGACAAUGGGGGGAACCCUGAUCCAGCCAUGCCGCGUGUGUGAAGAAGGCCUUAUGGUUGUAAAGCACUUUAAGCGAGGAGGAGGCUACUUUAGCUAAUACCUAGAGAUAGUGGACGUUACUCGCAGAAUAAGCACCGGCUAACUCUGUGCCAGCAGCCGCGGUAA
rnacentral:rRNA from 1 species